rnacentral:rRNA from 1 species
GAUGAACGCUGGCGGCGUGCCUAAUACAUGCAAGUCGAGCGAACGGACGAGAAGCUUGCUUCUCUGAUGUUAGCGGCGGACGGGUGAGUAACACGUGGAUAACCUACCUAUAAGACUGGGAUAACCUCGGGAAACCGUAGCUAAUACCGGAUAAUAUUUUGAACCGCAUGGUUCAAAAGUGAAAGACGGUCUUGCUGUCACUUAUAGAUGGAUCCGCGCUGCAUUAGCUAGUUGGUAAGGUAACGGCUUACCAAGGCAACGAUGCAUAGCCGACCUGAGAGGGUGAUCGGCCACCCUGGAACUGAGACACGGUCCAGACUCCUACGGGAGGCAGCAGUAGGGAAUCUUCCGCAAUGGGCGAAAGCCUGACGGAGCAACGCCGCGUGAGUGAUGAAGGUCUUCGGAUCGUAAAACUCUGUUAUUAGGGAAGAACAUAUGUGUAAGUAACUGUGCACAUCUUGACGGUACCUAAUCAGAAAGCCACGGCUAACUACGUG